AAUAUUGUCAGAGAAGAAACACGCGGAUUAAAUUAAAGGUUAUAGAAAAGUAUUCAGAGUGGUUUUUGUUUUCCCGAAAUAAUAAGUUCCCUCGGUCAUAACAUCAGCAUUUAUUGGAACGACGCAACGCAUCAAUAACAAAAGCCAAUAUAAUAAAUUUAAUAAAACCUCUCUCAAUAACAGAGUUGUGUUAAAAUCGCAUAUCUCCGGGUAUCAGCGAACCAACACGAGGAUCCGAUGGUCCUGGGACAGAAAGUGGAGCUUGCGUACUAUUGGCAUUCAAUGUUCCGAAUACCAGAACACCUUGUUGUCUAUAAAUAUAGAAAUAAAGUGUGAACAAUUAAAAA